rnacentral:rRNA from 1 species
CCUACGGGAGGCAGCAGUGGGGAAUUUUAGACAAUGGGCGCAAGCCUGAUCCAGCCAUGCCGCGUGAGUGAAGAAGGCCUUCGGGUUGUAAAGCUCUUUCAGUCGGGAAGAAACGGCGCGCUCUAACAUAGCGUGUCAAUGACGGUACCGACACAAGAAGCACCGGCUAACUACGUGCCAGCAGCCGCGGUAAU